GCAAGAAUAAAAAAAAAGCUUUGGAAACUGAUGCGGUCCUAAGCUGAGCACAUUUUUCCUAAAAAUAACUAAUGAAGACGACGAGGCCGCUCUUCAGCAGCAGCCGCCUCAAGGCCCUGGCCCAGUAACGUUACCAAGCAGUCAUGAGCCAAACACACCAGAAUGGGCAGGUACAGACAAGUUUUCAUGUGCGUGGUUUCAGUCAGAGGGCUCGCUUGGUGGGACUUACGGAAUGUCCGGACUGGAGCCUGGUAGAUUGGAGUGAAUUGGAGCUAGGACACGUUUUUCCUGAAAUCUUGUGUCAACCAAGAAACUCUAAAAGGUGGUCUUCAAUGUCCCUCACAACAAACCUCAAGGAAAUAGCAACGUGUUUUAACGACCAUCCUCUUUGCCACCACUACCAAAUUAUGGUCAUUGAACUCCUAGUCUCCAAGUCAUCAGGAACAUCAGGAAGGAUUAUUUCUCAGAGAGGAGACCAUAACAUAAAAUAU